GAACGGAUCAAGUGUUAGGAAUGAGGAUUCACAGCUGAUAAAUUUGUUGUGUUAUAUAAUUUUGUAUGAUUAUAAAAACAAUAUGUAUUAUAAUGUAGAAAUCGUUAUAACACAAUACAAAUAAAGAGGAAAUGAAUUCUGAUUCCUAAGACUUGAUUAGUGGCGGACGGGUGAGUAACGCGUGAGCAACCUGCCCUAAAGUGGGGGAUAACGUUCGGAAACGAACGCUAAUACCGCAUAAAAUUAUUUAUUCGCAUGAAUAAAUAAUCAAAGGAGAAAUUCGCUUUAGGAUGGGCUCGCGUCCGAUUAGCUAGAUGGUGUGGUAAAAGCAUACCAUGGCGACGAUCGGUAGCCGGACUGAGAGGUUGAACGGCCACAUUGGGACUGAGACACGGCCCAGACUCCUACGGGAGGCAGCAGUGGGGGAUAUUGCACAAUGGGCGAAAGCCUGAUGCAGCAACGCCGCGUGAGGGAAGAAGGUUUUCGGAUUGUAAACCUCUGUCUUUGGUGAAGAAAAAAAUGACGGUAACCAAGGAGGAAGCCACGGCUAACUACGUGCCAGCAGCCGCGGUAAUACGUAGGUGGCAAGCGUUGUCCGGAAUUACUGGGUGUAAAGGGUGCGCAGGCGGGUUAGCAAGUCUCGCGUGAAAUAUAUCGGCUCAACCGAUAGACGGCGCGGGAAACUGUAUAUCUUGAGUGGAGCAGAGGCAGGCGGAAUUCCGAGUGUAGCGGUGAAAUGCGUAGAUAUUCGGAGGAACACCAGUGGCGAAGGCGGCUUGCUGGGCUCUAACUGACGCUGAGGCACGAAAGCAUGGGGAGCAAACAGGAUUAGAUACCCUGGUAGUCCAUGCUGUAAACGAUGAUUGCUAGGUGUGGGAGGUCUGACCCCUUCCGUGCCGGAGUUAACACAAUAAGCAAUCCACCUGGGGAGUACGGCCGCAAGGUUGAAACUCAAAGGAAUUGACGGGGGCCCGCACAAGCAGUGGAGUAUGUGGUUUAAUUCGAAGCAACGCGAAGAACCUUACCAGGUCUUGACAUCCAACUAAGUUUUUAGAGAUAAAAAUGUGCCCUUCGGGGAAAGUUGAGACAGGUGGUGCAUGGUUGUCGUCAGCUCGUGUCGUGAGAUGUUGGGUUAAGUCCCGCAACGAGCGCAACCCUUGCCAUUAGUUGCUACGUAAGAGCACUCUAAUGGGACCGCCGUUGACAAAACGGAGGAAGGUGGGGACGACGUCAAAUCAUCAUGCCCCUUAUGACCUGGGCUACACACGUACUACAAUGAUCGCUAACAGAGGGAAGCGAAGGCGCGAGCCGGAGCAAAACCCCAAAAGCGAUCUCAGUUCAGACUGCAGGCUGCAACUCGCCUGCACGAAGUCGGAAUUGCUAGUAAUCGCGAAUCAGCAUGUCGCGGUGAAUACGUUCCCGGGC
rnacentral:rRNA from 1 species